rnacentral:tRNA from 1 species
AGCCCUGGUAGUUUAAAUCCUAAAACACUGGUCUUGUAAGCCGGAAACUGCAGACUGGGCCCUGCCCAGGGCU